UGCAGUCGACGAGAAGUUCCUUCGGGAGCAAUUAAAGUGGCGCACGGGUGAGUAACGCGUAGACAAUCUGCCCUUCAGUCUGGGACAACUUUUCGAAAGGAGAGCUAAUACCGGAUAACAAUGCAUGACACAAGUUGUAUAUUUGAAAGCUUUAUGUGCUGAAGGAGGGGUCUGCGUCCCAUUAGCUAGUUGGUAAGGUAAAGGCUUACCAAGGCAACGAUGGGUAGCGGGUUUGAGAGGACGAUCCGCCACACUGGAACUGAGACACGGUCCAGACUCCUACGGGAGGCAGCAGUGGGGAAUAUUGCACAAUGGAGGCAACUCUGAUGCAGCAAUGUCGCGUGAGUGAAGAAGGCCCUUGGGUCGUAAAGCUCUUUUAUGGGGGAAGAUGAUGACGGUACCCCAAGAAUAAGCACCGGCUAACUAUGUGCCAGCAGCCGCGGUAAUACAUAGGGUGCGAGCGUUGUUCGGAAUUACUGGGCGUAAAGGGCGCGCAGGCGGAAUAGUAAGUCGGAGGUGAAAGCCCGGGGCUCAACCCCGGAGGGUCUUUCGAAACUACUAAUCUAGAGAGGGUCAGGGGCCGGCAGAAUUCCUGGUGUAGAGGUGAAAUUCGUAGAUAUCAGGAGGAAUACCGGUGGCGAAGGCGGCCGGCUGGGGCCACUCUGACGCUGAGGCGCGAAAGCGUGGGGAGCAAACAGGAUUAGAUACCCUGGUAGUCCACGCCGUAAACGAUGAGCACUGGACGUCCGGAGGGUUCGACCCUUCUGGGUGUCUCAGCUAACGCAUUAAGUGCUCCGCC
rnacentral:rRNA from 1 species